GUGUAGUUCAGUGCUAGAGCACUUGCCUAGCAUGCAUGAGGCCCUGAGUUCAAUUCCCAGCACA
rnacentral:tRNA from 1 species